rnacentral:rRNA from 1 species
GACGAACCGGACAAACGUUAUUCGGAAUUACUGGGCUUAAAGGGUUUAUAGGCGGCCUUGUAAGUCAGGUGUGAAAUCCCUCGGCUCAACCGAGGAACGUCGAUCGAUACUGCUGUUCUUGAGGAUUGCAGAGGAGACUGGAAUUCCCGGUGUAGCGGUGAAAUGUGUAGAGAUCGGGAGGAACACCGGUGGCGAAGGCGGGUCUCUGGGCAAUUCCUGACGCUGAGGCGCGAAAGCGUGGGGAGCAAACGGG